rnacentral:rRNA from 1 species
UAAGCGGAGGAAAAGAAACUAACAAGGAUUCCCCUAGUAACUGCGAGUGAAGCGGGAAAAGCUCAAAUUUAAAAUCUGGUGGUCUUUGGCCAUCCGAGUUGUAAUUUAGAGAAGCGUCUUCCGCGCUGGACCGUGCACAAGUCUCCUGGAAUGGAGCGUCAUAGAGGGUGAGAAUCCCGUCUUUGGCAUGGACACACCAGGGCUUUUGUGAUGCGCUCUCGAAGAGUCGAGUUGUUUGGGAAUGCAGCUCAAAAUGGGUGGUGAACUCCAUCUAAAGCUAAAUAUUGGCGAGAGACCGAUAGCGAACAAGUACCGUGAGGGAAAGAUGAAAAGCACUUUGGAAAGGGAGUGAAACAGUACGUGAAAUUGUUGAAAGGGAAACGCUUGAAGUCAGUCACGUCGACCGAGACUCAGCCUUGCCUCGGCUUGGUGUACUUCUCGGCUGACGGGUCAGCAUCAAUUUUGCCCCUUGGAUAAUGGCGAGGGAAAUGUGACACCUUUAUGGUGUGUUAUAGUCUCUCGUCGCAUGCAAGGGUUGGGAUUGAGGAACUCAGCACGCGCCCUUUGGGUGUCGGGGCUUUGCCCACGACACGUGCUUAGGAUGUUGGCAUAAUGGCUUUAAACGACC